rnacentral:lncRNA from 1 species
AAAACUGGGCUUCAAAAUGAGCCCCACAUUCGGAGCCCUGCAACUGCUGAGUUAAGACCCAACAUCGAAUCACUACUAUGCAUGAACAACGAUUGAGGUUGCCAAUCAAUUCAAAAUGAGCCACGAACGAGACUAACACCUAUGCAAGCAAACUUGGAAAUCGUUUUUAACUUAUCAUUAGCCAAUUAGGUAAUACUCCAUAGUGAUUUGAUCUUGAAAGAAAACGUGAGUUCCAAUUCUAAUAACUAACAAUAGGCAAAGAAAUUUAACAAAAUCAACCUUAUAACAACACAUCUAAUCACAUUACUCUUGCACAGAGGUUACAAUAUCGACUGAUUUUUGGCUAUUCAACAUCUAGUUAAGCAGGAUGCUGCUCAGAGCUAUUUGCAGGACGAUCACUCACUCAACUAAACUAACAUGUUGUUCAAGCUUUCAGGCAGAUUCCAAACUAAAUAUCAUGACAAAGUCCAUUUAUACACUACAUGAUUUUCAAAUUACAGAACAUUCAACCAAAAUUGAACCAUGUUCAUUUAAAAUCAAAUUCAACCUCUAAAGAGCACUGUCACUAACCAACAUACAAACCUAAACAUAUUCAAACUAAAGUUUUGCAAUAAAGACAAAAUUAAACUCCUACAAUGAGAACAAAUGACUAAUAUGCUUCAAAUUCUCCAGAUUUCCAUAUCACAAUGUUUUUACAUUAAAUAGACUUAAAAUGUACCUGGAAAAGCAAAGGAAAUAGUACAAGGAAAGUCAACAGCAGCAAGAUGAAACAUCAGCAAUGGAAUUAGCCCAGAAAUAACCAAGGAAAACCAGCUUUGAACCAACGUUGAUCCAGCAGAAGUAUCAAAUAAGGCCCAAUAAUAAAAAAAACCAAAACUUGAACCAAACUCUUGAAAAUCAACCAAAAUCAAGUCAAUUUAGCCACUGAUUCUUCAGAGAUUAUUUCUGAAAUGAGAGCCUCAAGGGUCACAAAAAUCUUUAACGGAACAAUAAAUAUCCUAUGUUCUUAUAGCCGUUUCAAAAAUUAUAUCCUCUCUAUCUCUUAAGCUCUGCCUUCAAAUGUAAGAAAGAGUGCCUUUAUAGGCAAGGAAGUAGGGCAACUAUUAGGUUUUAGUUUUUUGCAUUUUGCCCCUUUGUGAAUUUUCUUUUUCUGCUUAGCAGUCCUUAAGUUAAAAUUAGAUUUCACCUUUAAGUCCCUAACCCAGCUUCUAGGAAGCUUUCCGAGGAGUUACACCCAAGAUUCCUUCAAUCAAAUACCUAAACUACCCCGUUACCCCUAUUAUUCACCUUGCCAAUCAAACAGAUCCUGGGUCCGAAUGACCAAACAAAUGGGUCUGCGUGGACCCGGAUCGAAUCCCCAAUUGGGCCUUUCGUAUUUACAAGACAAUUAAACACUUAAGGAACACAGAAUAGAACUUGACCCAUAAUUUUCCUCACAAAGAAACCUAAAACCAUUCUUUAAAAAGUAGCCAAAACAAAAACAAAAUUGACUGAACUACCCAAACUAAACCAUCACUGUAAUUUAAUUAACUCAAAGCCUUAAAUUUACUAGCUAGUGAUAAAACGUUAUAGUGAAACUGAGACAAUAAUCAUGCUAUGAAGAAGCACAAACACAAACAAAGAAGCAGGAGGAAGAAAGAUGGCUUUAAAUAAUGAAAAAAAAGAGAGAAGAGCUAGAAAUGUACAAGUAUCUAACGGACUGUCCAGACCUUGAAGUUCUUCUUCACGAACUCAAUUUUAAACGAAAGGGGCCUCAAUCAUGUGUUCUCAUAUGAGAACACAUGACCAAGGUCCGUUCUAGUCUUAAUCAACGCCAAAUCUACUAAUUCUGGAGUGUUUAACAUUUUUAGGCCUUACUUUCAACUCAUAUUCGACGAGUUUAAGGCAUUUUAGAAGGAAACGGGGUUAGGAUUUAGGAAAAAGGGAGUGAGGGGAUCUUUGGGUGUUAAUUCGGUAAGCAUUGAUGGUGGUGCCGCCACCGAAUGGUGGUGGGAUGUAGGGGCAGCGGGUUAGGGUUUGUUGUUUGGUCUUUGAUGAAAUGGAAGAGAUGAUGGAAAGGGGGUGGAUGGUGUUCAGACAUCUAUAUAUUAUAAGAUCCC